AUUAGGGUGCCAGCAAGAGGAACUGCACAGAGAUGGGUUCCCACCUGGUGGUGAUCAACAUGAGAGAUGAGCAGGCUUUCCUUUCCAGUUGGAAAGUUCCAAAGGGAACUUAUACAGGCACCCAACUAUAAAGUUGUUAUAUUGGUCUGACUCAUCAGGAGGAGAAGGGCCAGUGGUGCUGGGUGGAUCAGACUCCAAUAACCAGACUGCAGUGUUCUGGAAAGAUAAGGAACCCAAUAACCUUGACAAGGAGAAGUGUGUUGUCAUGGAUAUGAGGAAAAACACAUACUCAAGAGGACUACGAAUUGAAAUGAUCUCCCAUUAAACAGCAAUUUAUCAACAUUGUAAAAUUGCAGCAACAAAUAUUUGAUUAAAAACAUCCUGGGUGUCAGAGUGGAAAGAGAACCCAUCCCUCACUAGGAGCAGCUCACAAAGAUUUGAUAGGAGGGGUCAGAUUAGCCCUGAUCUGCAAUUAUGUGGGAGUGGUGGAGACUGUGGUGGAGGUUUCUGCACUCAGUGGCCUGAACCCAAAGUAAUUUUUAAAAAAUUAAAGCUGCUGAAAAUGUUUAAAGUGGGAAAAUGCCACAUGUCAGCUGAGCUCUGCUUGUGACCUCAUAAAAGCUGCCAAUGCUAUCUCCCAACAAGUCUGGUAGAGAGGGUAGCUUUGGGAAGGGGAGGGCCAUGGGAUUUGCCUUGCACUUGAGGGGAAAGAUACUAUUCUCUUAUAAUGAAGCGGACAAAUUUAAACCCAGAGGAAGUGUAUCACCUACUAGUGUGCCAUCGCUUUCUGCUUACUCCUUACUCUUACUGCAUACAACUCUUCACUAAGAAUUCUGAUUAUUUCAGGGCUGUGUCUACUAGUGUAUAUAUUGGAAAUACAGGUAGGUCCAAACUGGUAUCUUCUAACCCAUUUAGAACUCAGUUCCAUUUUGUAGUGUAAAUGGAGCUCGGAACCUAGUAUAAGUUCUCUUCUGUGUAGAUACAAAGUGGUCAUCUCAGCACAAUUCUAACUGCUUCCCACGCCACACUUGUAGUUCUAAGCCAGCUGGGGUAUAAGAUGUAAACCAAAGGAUUUAUCAUCCCUGUUAAUUAUUAUUUGUGGAAAGGGUGUAGACGUAUGGAUGGAAAAGCAGCCCAAAACUCUGUAAGGCUUGCAAUCACUGAGUCUUGUUAGACAUUAGAACUACAUUCUUGCUGGGAGAAAAAUAUCUGGGUCUGGUGUUAGAGACUCAAAUAUCCUGCUGUAAGGAGCUGUAGAAAAAGGAGGGGUUUUCAAACUACAGGAGCUUCAGUCAAAAAAAAAAAAUCUAGGGAUGGCUGCCACUGCCCAGGAGCCAGUGCUGGAUUGUUCCCUGCAGUGCAUUCCCCACUUUGUCUAAUUCUAAUUUUGAAUGGCAGCAGCAACGACAGAGCUUCCACUACUUCCUCUGAGGAGACCACAGGCCUCAAUCUCGUUGUUAGGUUCUGAGGCAGACUGUCUGAUGCUUUAUAUAAAGUUCUCUCUCUAGUACUGUCCUUUUACUGCUCUCUCCUUACUCUCA